rnacentral:rRNA from 1 species
AUGCACGCUGGCGGCGUGCCUAAUACCUGCAAGUCGCGCGAACAGACGAGGAGCUUGCUCCUCUGACGUUAGCGGCGGACGGGUGAGUAACACGUGGAUAACCUACCUAUAAGACUGGGAUAACUUCGGGAAACCGGAGCUAAUACCGGAUAAUAUAUUGAACCGCAUGGUUCAAUAGUGAAAGACGGUUUUGCUGUCACUUAUAGAUGGAUCCGCGCCGCAUUAGCUAGUUGGUAAGGUAACGGCUUACCAAGGCAACGAUGCGUAGCCGACCUGAGAGGGUGAUCGGCCACACUGGAACUGAGACACGGUCCAGACUCCUACGGGAGGCAGCAGUAGGGAAUCUUCCGCAAUGGGCGAAAGCUUGACGGAGCAACGCCGCGUGAGUGAUGAAGGUCUUCGGAUCGUAAAACUCUGUUAUUAGGGAAGAACAAAUGUGUAAGUAACUAUGCACGUCUUGACGGUACCGAAUCAGAAAGCCACGGCUAACUACGUG